rnacentral:rRNA from 1 species
UACGGGGGGGGCAAGCGUUGUUCGGAAUUACUGGGCGUAAAGGGCUCGUAGGCGGCCAACUAAGUCAGACGUGAAAUCCCUCGGCUUAACCGGGGAACUGCGUCUGAUACUGGAUGGCUUGAGGUUGGGAGAGGGAUGCGGAAUUCCUGGUGUAGCGGUGAAAUGCGCAGAUAUCAGGAGGAACACCGAUAGCGAAGGCAGCCCCCUGGGCUAACACUGACGCUCAUGCACGAAAGCGUGGGGAGCAAACAGG